GUUUAAGUAGUUCGGAUCUCAUGGGACCUUGAACACAUUGGCAUGUGAGACUUGGGCAAUAAAGUUCUGGUUGUUUUCUUGAGGAGCCCAUUAGUUGUUCUGUAAAUGAAAUAUGCGUCCAAAGGAAUCUCUCUCUCUCUCUUUUUCUUGAUUUUUCUUUUCAGAUGUGAGUUGAGAUACUUUGACAGAAGAAUAUUCUUUUUACUUUCUACCUUCUGGAGAAUCAAAUAUAGCUAAGAGCUAAGAUACAGCUUCAAUCAGCCCAGAAGUGAACAGCAAGAGAGUCUAAGAAGACUCCAAUGUUGAAACUGCUUGAAAACACUGCUUUUGUACAGAACUCUCUUCCUUCUAUGACAAGUGCAGAGAGGGGGGAAAAAUUAACAUCAUACCUGUGGGAGACAAAUAAUCAAUACAGAGAAAACAGAACUGUAUCCUGAGAACUAAAGGAAAAGCAUGCCUCUGAAAAUUACUUCCAUAGGAAGUUGAAUUAAAAACAAAUGAAUAAAACUA